GACGAACGCUGGCGGCGUGCUUAACACAUGCAAGUCGAGCGGUAAGGCCCUUUCGGGGGUACACGAGCGGCGAACGGGUGAGUAACACGUGGGUGACCUGCCCUCAGCUCUGGGAUAAGCCUGGGAAACUGGGUCUAAUACCGGAUAUGACUCCAUGACGCAUGUUGUGGGGUGGAAAGCCUUGUGCGGCUGAGGAUGGGCCCCGCGGCCUAUCAGCUUGUUGGUGGGGUGANGGCCUACCAAGGCGACGACGGGUAGCCGGCCUGAGAGGGCGACCGGCCACACUGGGACUGAGACACGGCCCAGACUCCUACGGGAGGCAGCAGUGGGGAAUCUUGCGCAAUGGGCGAAAGCCUGACGCAGCGACGCCGCGUGAGGGACGAC
rnacentral:rRNA from 1 species